rnacentral:sRNA from 1 species
CAUUGAGAUGAGUUUUAUAUACGUGGA